UACAUAAGUUGAAAGAAUCAGCACAGGAGCACGACAUGCCAUAUCUAUUCUAGUGCGAGAGUGAGAGCAGCAUUUUGAGAGCAAAUGGCCUCUACUGCUCCUUUACAUCACCACGUCGCUCACUGCUUCUCCAUCUCCCAGAAACAGUGUAAAGAUAAGGAGGUUUUAUUACAGCAUGGAUGGACAGCAAGACCACCACCCAGAUAUUCAUUCUUCAGAAACAGGGAAAACAGCAUUAAUCUUACCACUAGUGUCAGCAGACCCAUUAAAGCUUUUUCAGUUGAUAUACCUUCGUAUCCUCUCCUUCAACCUCCUAAAGUCGAAGAAGAGUCUGACUCUGAGUUGGAACCAGCAGACCCUGAUUUUUAUAGGAUAGGGUAUGCUCGAAGUAUGCGUGCUUAUGGAAUUGAAUUUAAGGAAGGGCCAGAUGGAUUCGGAGUUUAUGCUGCCAAAGAUGUUGAACCACUUCGCCGUGCAAGGGUGGUUAUGGAAAUCCCAAUAGAGUUGAUGUUGAAUAUAAGUAAGAAGCUCCCAUGGAUGUUUUUUCCAGAUAUAAUACCAUUGGGUCAUCCAAUAUUUGAUAUUAUUAACUCAACAGAUCCAGAGACAGAUUGGGACCUGCGGUUAGCAUGUCUUCUUUUAUUUGCAUUUGAUUGCGAGGAUAACUUUUGGCAGCUAUACAGUGACUUUUUACCUAGUGCGGAUGAGUGCCCCAGCUUGCUUCUAGCAACAGAGGAGGACCUUUUGGAGCUCCAGGAUGAGAAUCUUGCAUCAACUAUGAGAAAACAGCAACUCCGAGCCUUGGAGUUUUGGGAAAAGAAUUGGCACUCUGGUGCUCCACUCAAAAUAAAGCGCCUUGCUCGUGAUCCUGAGAAAUUUAUUUGGGCAGUUAGUAUGGCACAAUCACGGUGCAUUAACAUGCAAAUAAGGGUCGGUGCUUUAACUCAAGAUACGAAUAUGCUGAUUCCUUAUGCUGACAUGCUAAACCAUUCCUUUGAGCCAAACUGUUUUUUCCAUUGGCGAUUCAAGGAUCGCAUGCUUGAGGUUAUGAUAAAUGCAGGGCAACAGAUAAGGAAAGGAGAAGAGAUGACUGUCAAUUACAUGAGCGGACAGAAGAAUGACAUGUUCAUGCAACGAUAUGGUUUUUCAUCACCAGUGAAUCCUUGGGAUGUAAUCCGAUUUUCUGGCAAUGCACGCAUACAUUUGGAUUCUUUCCUGUCAGUCUUCAAUAUAUCUGGCCUGCCUGAAGAAUAUUGUCAUAACACAGGUCUGCUAUCCAAAGAGGGAGAUGCUUUUGUUGAUGGAGCUGUUAUAGCAGCAGCAAGAACGCUGCCCACUUGGUCAGAUGGAGAUCUGCCUCCUGUCCCAAGCAUAGAAAGGAAAGCUGUGAAGGAGUUGCAAGAAGAAUGCCAGAAGAUGCUAGCACAAUUUCCUACAACUUCUAAGAAAGACCUGAAAAUACUAGAUUUUCAGAUUGUGGAUUCCUUGUUCUGAAAUCUUGAACCAGCUUCAGUACUGGAAGAUUUUAGUACCAAGCAUGGCUUUUCUCGGUGAAACUAAUUCUGAAGAUAAUUUUUCUCAAUCAUAACAGAUUCUAUGCCAGAAGCGACGAGGACCCUUGAAGCUGCAAUCAAGUAUAGACUGCACCGGAAGUUGCUUAUUGAGAAGGUCGUCCAGGCAUUGGAAAUGUAUCAAGAGCGCAUAUUGUUUUAAGCAUGGAGUUUUCCUUUCCAAAUGAGUCAUGACAAUUUUGUUAUACAUCUCUGAUGCACCAAAUGGCGAAAGCAUAGUUCAUCAACUGUUUUUCAUGCGCUGCAGUCGUCCAUGUUCCUGUAUUCAGACAUGAUCAACAAUGUGUGCAACUAUGUCUCGAUCUGGAUUCAGGCCAUGAAUGUAAAUGGGAUUGGUAAUUAGCAUUUGCAGCUAUUAACCAACCUCAAUAUUGGAUUUUAUCAGAGUAUACCACCAUGCUUUGAUCCCUUUGGAUGCAAUUGACAAACUUUUGCUUGCAGAAAA